GUGGUGGUGAUGGUGGUAGUGGUUACUCAUAAACAAAUUAUCUUCAUUCUUUCUCGAUGUCUUGAAUUUUUUGGUUCGGUAAAUUCUACAUCACUUCCUUCACUUGCUGGUCCACUUGUUCGUGUCUUCUGGGUGUGAGUCGGCUGUUUGUUGAAACGUUCCUGCUUCUAUAUGAAAAAAAAGGUAAUCCGAGACAGUUUUCUUCUCAAUUCCUCAAUAAGACAAGAAGAACAACGAGAUGAGAGGGGGAAUGAACAAAACGAGCAUUAAAUGAGGAGGGAGAGAAAAAGAGAACAGGUGGAGAGAGAGAGAGAGAGAGAGAGAGAGAGAGAGAGAGAGAGAGAGAGAGAGAGAGAGAGAGAGAGAGAGAGAGAGAGAGAGAGAGAGAGAGAGAGAGAGAGAGAGAGAGAGAGAGAGAGAGAGAGAGAGAUACCUGUGUGGAUGUUCAUUAUGCCCAUAUACAUAUAUGAAGGUUGUAUGCAUGAGGAACUUUGAACAUAUUAGAGGUGAACGGAGAUGAAGUAAUUUGCAUUUCUAUCUACAAAUUUUGUGAAUUGGUGAAGAGAAUUAAGAUAUAUGUGGAAGCUACAGAAUAAAAGAUUUGUGUUUGUGAAGAAACCUUAGAUCAGAAUGUUAGUUGUAAUUCUUAUCUCUUUUCGUCUAGAUAUAGAAAGUGAACUAAUUUUAUUAAAUUGAAAGCACACAAAUAACUGCAGAGUUGUAACUUAGGUGCUUAGCUUAUAGAAAGUGAGAUUGACUUGGAAGUUCUAUUGAGUAAGCUGGGAGAAAGUACUAACAAUAAUGUAAUGUCUCGAUGUACAGUACUAUAGGCCACAAUUAUUUUGUAUAUUGUGAGAAGGGGAACAUUAGUAAUUGCUUCAUGGUUGAGUGAUGGCAUGCCACUGCCUGUUUUGCAUCUUGGCCCAGGUUACCACAUUGUUUGGUACACCCAUAUUUGGUCAUUUUUAUUCUUUAAUCACACUAUUAAAAUAGUUUUAUAAUUAGAACAAUGUUGAAAAAUGUUUUAAGCCGUCAUAAAAUUUAUUUUUACACUACUGCAUGAAUUACCAAAAAUUUCAAGGGGUGUGUGUGUGUGUGUGUGAAUAAAUGUGAUAGAUUCAUACUUGAAAAAAAAAAAAAAGAAAAAAAAAAUUCUAAUUAUGUAUUAGCCCUCUCAUGCACCACAGUGUGUAUAUAUAUUGAAGUAAUACACAAAAUAAUAAUCUGACUGUAUUUAUGGAAAACUAUUGAGUUUUAAGUUCUUUUUAUUCCCAUUGUUCAUAAUAUGCAUUUUUAAAGCUUUCUGUAACAAACCUGUUUUGUUGGUUAAAUUUGGAGAAAGUCAAAAUUCAUACAUCAUCGCUGGUGGCAUUGAGUUGCAGUGUUCAUGUGCAUCAUGUGUGGGAGCUCACAGAUGUGUGUCUGCAGAAUAUUUCCACGUGAUGUAAGUCCAUGGUUCUUAUGGAACCUCAGAGGAAUGGCAGUGGAGAAAUCUCACCAUCUUACUGAAAACGGACUUUGUUGUGGGUGGGUGGCUAUGGCUUUGCUUUUGAGAUGGUGUGGAUAUUGAGUGUCUCAACUCAAUCAGUCACUCAAUACCUGCUGUUGCCUAUAUAGCCACAUCAUAAGACCUUUAAUCAGGACUUGCUUGAGUCACAGCUGUCACAUCAUCAGCUGUCAUCUUGUGAGAUGGAUGUUUCUUUGAAUCCUAUCUGUCACUUUUGACUGAUGUUUAAACUAAGGAAAGCUAGAAUUUUUAUGUAGCAGAUGUGUCACUUUCAAUAUUAGGUAGCCAUUUUCAUUUUGGAAACGGCCUGUUUGAAUGGAUGCUUCUUAGCUGGUAUCAUAAGGGAGAUACUCUUUUGUGGCAGUGAAGAUGGGGCAUUCGUACUGAUGUGUGAGAGGGUUAAGAUUUUGUAUGAUGGUGCUCUCACUGCCUCUUGGUGGCAGCAAAUGGUGUGCUAUGAUUCUCUUUAACUCAGGUUUUGAAUGGAGGCUUGCUAGAUAUCCUGCCACAAUAAUGCACAAUAAUUCUGGUGAUAAUAUGCUAACUAUAAGGAUAAUUUGAAUGUAAUAUUACCUUGGGAUGGGAUUUUGAUUAAUUUAUACAGCAUGUUGCUUAAUUCCACAGCUUGAAAUUUGAAAGAUGAGAAGUUUUAUAUUUUUAUUGUAAAUAUACAUUGUCUUCACUGAACAGCUAUUUACAUAAGUAUAAUUUUGACGUCAGUUCACCGCAUGACCUGCAGGACCUGAAAUGGAGAACAUUAUACAUAAAUCCUUCCACCAAUAGAUUGCAUUGUGUUUUGCACUUUGUUAGGCAAACACAGACUCAUUACCACCUUGGCCACUAGAUUCAAUUCAUAAGGUUUUAUUUCACUGUAAUUAAAUUUCUCUCAUUGCCUAUCAACCUUAUGUACUUAACUGUGUGUGUGUGUGUGUGUGUGUAUGUGUGUGUGUGCACGCGCGCAUGUGUGUAGAGGACAGAGCUAUGUAUGUACGUAGUAUCCAUUCCUCAUUAUUCUUUCAAUAUAUUCCUACAGCUGUCAUAUACCAUAGGUGAACACUACUCAUCCUAAUUGGCUUGUCUUAAAAUCUUAUUCUUUUUGAUGUUUAAAAUCCUCUUGGUGUCUUGUGCAAAUUCUACUAAAUGUAAUACAAGACAAUUAGAGUCACAAUGUCUCAGUAUCCAUAUUUCAUUGUCAAUAAACUCUUUCUUUUCAUGCAAUAGGUAGACAAUUAUGUGAAGUGGAAGGGUAAGUAGGAACUCACCACUGUAGCUAAUGAUCUAUACUGUACUUCAUUUAACCUGUUUUGUACUUCUACAAUUACCACCACAUUUCAAAUGCUAUUGAACUUCCCAUGUAUAAUUUCUGAAGUUUUGGUACUAUUAUAAAAUAUAACCAAUUACUCAAUAAUGUAAACAGGAUUUAGGACUCCAUUAAAUAAUUUUUAAAGUAAGGACUGGCAUCUGAAAGUCCAUAAUGAAAAUUCUUGAUGUUGUUGUUUGGGGCAUUAUUAAUGGUGACACUAUGUGUACAUCUUUCACCAUUGCUGAUGCCAGUGUGGACAUCCCUCAACAUGUACUCAAAAGUAUUUACUCACAUUAAAUUCUACUUAUUACACACACACACACACACACACACACACACACACACACACACACACACACACACACACACACACAAAAGUUACUGUAAAAUGCAAGUCUGAAUAGCUGAUGGUGUUAGCACUGUCAUCAUGUCCCUUGCUACAUAUCUCAGAACGUUUUUUCCAAACCCUCCUUUAAUUUUUAUAUACAAAAGUGCCUGUAUGUACUCCUUAAUGAUGUGCUUGUUUUAUAUUCUUGACUAAAUAUGACGAGCAACACACAAGUAAUAUUUCAAAAUUACCCAAAGUGAAUCAUGACAGUAAGUGCCAUUUUGUUCUUGCAUUUAGUGCUCUCUCUCUCUCUCUCUCUCUCUCUCUCUCUCUCUCUCUCUCUCUCUCUCUCUCUCUCUCUCUCUCUCUCUCUCUCUCUCUCUCUCUCUCUCUCUCUCUUACCUACUUACAUAUAUAGAUAGCUAUUAGAUAGUUUUAAUUUUGCAACAAAAUUGAGUCUUCACCAUUGCCGGAAUGUUUAAUAGUGAAAUUUGAUGUGUAAGACUAUGAGGUCUAUCCUUUCUGCAAGAUGUGAUCAUAAAGUUCCUGGACUGUUUCUAGUGCAAACAAACUGGUAAUGAUCAUGCCUGUGGGACAGAAAAAUAUCAGUAAUUACAAUUAGUGAAGAUAGAGAUCGUGGCGGCACAGCAAGAGCAAUUGGUAAUUGUUCUGAGUCAGUGUGCCAUGUGUCAAUGCACUAUUGUCAUUGGGAUCUGUGUUGCACUUGUUUCUGUGACCAUGUUCACACACACUUGCAAUUUCAAUAUAGUCCUCAAACUUGAAUAGAAACCCUUGGAAAGAAAGAGCAAAAGUUUAGCAAUGAAGCAGUGGGUGAGUAAGGUGGAAAGAAUAAAGAAUAGCAGCUGUGCAUUAGUAUCAGCGGAAUUAGUGUGUAGUGGUGAGGAACUAUAGCAUUACCACUCAAAGCACUCCUGCUCCUUGUGGAGAUACAUGAGCUUGAUUUUAAAAUGACAAGGCAAAGCAAGCAUUGUGACAGCUUCCCUCGCUGAAGCAAGCAUCUUGAGUUUUGGAACUAAGCAUAUGUAAACAUAUAACUUAGUGACAUCAAAUUAAUACAGUAUACAUAUAUCUGUACUAUAGAUUACAUAUACAUAAUUAUAUCCACUUGUGAUCUGCAUCAUUUCUAGAGCUCAUUCGUAGCUCUAAAAGCAAUAAUGAUAAGAAAAUGAUAUAAUGAUGGUCUUAAUUAUAAUGACAAUAACAAUAGUAGUAGUAGUAGUAAUAAUAUAAUAAUAAUAAUAUUAAUAAUACACAAUAAUACAUAAUAGCAACUACUGUGAGUAGUUAAGAAUAUAAACUUGAGAAAAUUGCAUUUCAAGGAGCAUAAUUGGACUCCUUGAUCAUGACAACAGAGAAUCAUAUGACUAGUUAAUUAUAUACACAUCCCUUGAAUCCAUGCCCAAGCCACAGGUAAAAUUUUAUUUGAAGUAUUGCAAUGGUAAUGAUGGCAGGUGACCUGUACAGGUGUACUGGCAUGUGGAAUAAGAUUCAUCACUUCACAGGGAACCAUAGUGGUGUGAUGUUCAAGUUGUUUUUUCUUUUAAAAUGUGAAUUACAUAAGCUACGUAAUCAGUACAUAACAUAUUCAUCCUAAUAUAAUUUUUAAAUAAAAAUUUCAAUAAUAUAUUUACUUGGAUCGGUUGUGGCAGAAUUGAAGAGUUUUUGACUAAGUGAACACUUUGACAAGCAACAUGAUACUCCUCUCCAUGAAAUGUACUUAGUGUUCUCCCCUUCUGUAUACUCUAUAUGAUGGCAGCCACACAACUCAUGAGACAAGUGAAAAUACUCAUCCUGGUGUUGUACAUGGCAAUGUCUGUGACUCUAUUGAGUUUCUGCCACAAGAGGGGGUAAUUCAUAUCAAGACUUAGGUAAAUUAACAAGUCUAUGUAAUUAAACCUGAGUUGAAUGGUAAAAAAAGUAUCUCAAACUUAUCAAUGCCUUGCUCUCUUCUAAAAUUAAAUUGCUAGGUAGUUUGUCUUACAGACAAUGAAAACCAGUAAUCUUGAAUCUUCAUUUUUGUUUACCACACCCAAGGCCUUUCCUCACUGCCUCUAGAUGUACAAACAAAAACAGUACCUAUGAAUGGGUGUAUCAUCUACUUGUACUUUUCUGUAUUGUUUGUUUGUUUUGGUGUCACUUCAUCUUAAAAACAUGUAUGGUAUGGUAUCUCCAGGUGUUCAAUUGGGUCUUUGUGUCACCCAUGACUCCUUGUCAUCUUCCUGUCUCCUACUCUGUACAAUCACUCCAGCGUUUAUCUGUUUAAGUAAUUACACAUGUCCACUUUCCUUUGAACUGGAAAUAUAUAGAGAUACUGUACCACUUAUGCAUGUACGUAUGUAGGAAGUGUGUUACCUGAGAAGCAGAUUUCUAAACAAGGAAGCAAGUAUUGUCUUUUAGUAACAUGAUCACAAGACCAGAAGUUACUUAAUAAUAUAUAAUACAUGUGUACAUUAGAUUAUAAAGCAUUUACAAAAAAAUAUAGUAUACAUAUUCAAUGUGAUUUCUUGCAAUGACAUGGUUAUAUGAUAAUUAUGAUUCCUGUGUUCUGCUUUCUCUCAGGAGCCACUCUUUACAAAGGAAACAACUUCCAUGAACAGUUACAAAAAUAAUAACUUACCAUGAAAAUAUAAGAGAAACUAAAAAUUAAGUAAAUGGUUUUGUUCCUGUGUAUGUAUGUACAAUGCAUAAUCAAGUUGAAAAUGUAGUUGCAGUAGGGCAUUCCCAGCCAUGCUUUGCUUGACCAGUGGGUGUGAUACAUAAUUACUGUUAUCAACAAAGAGAUGCUGAGCGACACUAUUGAAGCAACCUGUUAACCUCAUGCUGUGUGUCAACUCUGCACUGUGAUGUGUAUGAGAUAGAUAAGAGAUUUCUGCUGCAUCUGUGCUAAAUUUCAUAUUCCUUGCUAUUUGAAAACUUAUGUAAUAGAUGCAAGUCCACUCAAAUAAUAAUUCAAGAUGUGUUGUGUUCAUUCCUUCUGAGAUACCUAUAUGUGGUGCAAUCCAAAAUUUCUAGAAUCCAUUACAUAAUAAAGCAAUACUGACUUUCA